CAGAAAAUAGUUUAAUAAAAAUAUUAAUUUUGGGGAUUAAUGAUGUAAUAAUUUAUUUUUCUGA
rnacentral:tRNA from 2 species